UUCCCAGACCAGGAAUUGAACCUGUGUCCUUUGCAUUGGCAGUGGAUUCUUAACCACUGUACCACCAAGGAAUCCCAAAGAGUACUUCUUUACACAAAACUCUAGCAGUUUGUUUUUUAAUAUUGAAUUAAAGGAUUAAGGUAAACCAUACUUUUUAAGACUGGCAGCUAGCAGUUUCUAACUUCUGGAGUACCUUUUUAGUUUUCAGUGUAGUUAGUGCUUUGCAAAAUUUGUGGGUUCACUGAAGAUAAUUAAAAUCUUUAGUAAUCCAGGUGUCACUGUGUCUGUAAUAAUUCAGUAAUCCAGGUAUCCAUUUUGAUUUAUUUCCAUUUUUCUUCUCAUCCUUGAUUUUACCAAAGGUAAUGUAUAUAUAGGUAAUACAGUUAUAAAACUAAUGUAGAAUGCUAGCUGCAAAUGGAAAUAAUAUAAAACAUAAUUUUUGUUGAUUUAUGGCAUGAUUUGCUUGAAAAAACCACAGAGCCUGUUGGCUGUGAAUCUGUUUCACAUGCAGGAUUUUCAUGUAAUUUUUGCAUGCUUUUGGCAGGGAGGGUGAUGCUUCAUCCAAUUCUCAGGUAAUCUGAGACCUAAAUGGGUUUGAAAAGUACCAGUUGAGGAUAGUUACUUCCAGUAUAUUUGGGUCACUAGUAGUAGUGAACCCAAAACUAGUUAUUUACUUCUCAAUUAUAAUUGUGUACUACUGCACUAGUAUUUCAGGGAUGCUAUUAAGACACACUUCAUAGGGAUGAGGUUAACAAUAAACAUAAACCUGUACCCCUGCAGAAAACCUGGAGUGCAUGCUAUCUUCGUAGGUAAGAAGUCAUCUGAUGGAGCACAGCAGGUUUUGUGUGCCCUAUCUUGGAACAAGCCGAAUAACAUUUUGUAGAUAGAAUAGGAAUCGGGAUCCUACGUAGGGUUUUGUAUUAUAAACGUCACAGGCUGUGAUGAGGGACCAGCAGUCCAGACGAGAGAACCUAUCUAUGGAAAAUGGAAAUGGGACACUUUACCAUCUAGGAUUUAAGUGUUUGCUGCCAAAACACAAAAUUGAGCAGAAUUUUUAAGUCAGUUGAUGUUCUUUGACGAAACAAAAUAAAAUCUUGACUGAAUGGACAUAAUCAGAUGAGGCAGAGAUUUAAAUGGCGUCUUGGUGGAAUUUAAUUACUGUCAUGGACUGUGGGAAAUAAGAGAACACUUGUGGUUUUUAAUCAUUUAAACUUGUUUUUAAAGGGCUAAAUCUGAUUUUAUUGUAAUCCUAGGAGAAAAGGAAACAUGGAUGAAGCUACCUGAAAUUUGGCUUCCUGUGUGAGCCCAAAGUUGCAAGCUGAGGAAAACUUGCCAGUGUCCUUUCAGUGGUCUUGGGGAGCAGGAACGUCAGCCUUUCCUGAGCACAGCUUGUGAGAUGAGACCGAUGGCAUCAGACCACUGGCUUAAUAGGGUCCCAGGGGAUCUGCAUCCACAGUCAAAUCAUUCUGUGGAAGAAAUGAACAACAAGGGAGAAAUGAACCAGAAGAAUCUUGUUUUAUUUUUCAAUUUAUUACCACUCCAUUAUAAACAACCUGUGGAUAGAUGAGCAGUCAUGACACUUUAUCCAGGUUUGUUUUCCUCAAUUGUAUACCUUCCCCUGGUACACUGACGGACUACCACAGACCCACCCCGUGGAACUAGAAAUUGUAGGUUAAAAAAAAAAAUACUCCAACUAACCUAACAGUUUUGGGUUAGUCCCCAUCACAAAGGAACUACUUAUAAAUUUGUCUUUGUUCAAGUGAGAAGAAUCCUGUUUUUAUCAGCAUGUAUCUUGGCCCAAGGGAAGCAAGUGGUGAGACAUGAAUCAAGACAGAGACCGUGGUAGAGCUUCAGCUUUUUCCACAAAAACUGAUAGCAGACAGGAGGGAGGGUGGUUCUUGGGGAACUCAGGGUGAGUAUGACUUGAGUGAAUUGUGGACCUCACCAAUGUUAUUACCAUUUUCCAGCCCAUGAGUAAAUCUCUUCUGUACCAGUUGGGAGAAGUCAGGCCUGGAAACGCCAGGUUUGGCUGGAAAAGAGCUUCAUCACCUACAGGUCGGCAGAGGGAAGUGGUGUGGACGCCCUCAGUGGCCUGAGCUUACCUAGCAGUGUUUUUCAAAGUAACUUAAAAGGCUUUGUACUGUAUUAUGCUGUGAAACAGAUUUUACUACAUUCAUGAAUUUUCUAAAUUCUCAAAGACUUUAAAAAUUAUAUAUUUGGCCAUGUGGGACCUUAAUUCCCUGAUUGGGGAUUGAACCUGCACCCCCUGCAUUGGAAGCAUGGAGUCUUAACCACUGGACUGCCAGGCAAGUCUCAAAUUUCUCUGAAUUCUUAUUUUAUAAAUCACUUUUUGUUAUUAUCUGUGUCCUACUGUUGUUAUAAGGCAUUAAUUAAUCAUAAAACGCUCUAAAGUCUGUCAGCUUUCUGUAUGCUAAAGUCUUACUACUAAAUAAACUAGUAAAUUCUCAUGUGA